rnacentral:lncRNA from 1 species
CUGGUCCGAUCCUACACAGGUGGACUCAAAUGAGGGACCAAACACAUCUCUAACAAGACUCUAAAUAUCUCCCCAAAAACCACCUAAAACAUCAUAAAACAUGCAUUCAUAACAGGCAAAGGAAGGCUGGGCAGGGGACUUUCGGCGGCAGGUUCGGCGGCCGAAGGUCCCUAAAGAUCCGAAAGUCAGGCACUUUCGGGGGCAGGUUCGGCGGCCGAAGGUCCUCCAUAGAUCCGAAAGUCGGGGACUUUUGGGGCGGGUUCAGAGGCCGAAACUCCCUUACAGAUCCAAAAGUGCUUGCUUUCGGGGGCAGGUUAGGCGGCCAAAAGGCUGCCUCCCAUGCUGGUUCGGCCGCUGAAGCAAAGGUUCGGCGGCUGAACCUUGCUUCAGCGGCCGAACCUUGCUUCAGCGGCCGAACCUAUUCUGCCUCAACACUCAGCCACCAAAUCUCACCAAACUCAUACCCAACUUCUCAAAACAUGCAAAAACUCACUCCAUCAAACAUAAAGGGCAUAAAACUAACUUAAACCCCAACAACAACAAGAAGAACAUCGCAUAAGCAUACAUUCAUCAAAAACCCAACUCAAAACCUAUAACAUUAGAUCUAACCAAAACAUGCAUCUUUAACCCUUAACUAUUUUUAAAACUUACUUAAAACAUAGGAAAAGAUAAGGAUCUACACUUACCUCUUGACGAUCUAAGGUAGAUGCGACACAAACUUGGAGUUGAGGAGAAAACGGUCUCCCAAACUUUAAAAUCUUCGAUUUUAAGCUUAAAACUUCAAAAACAAGCGAAAACCCAUAAAAAUUUGAAGGAAAAACAUAAAAUCAUCAAAUGAAAGGCAAAAACUCACCUUUGCCCGAAAAUGGAGAGAGAAACUCCCCCAUUUUCGGACUGGAGGCCUCUUAUAGGUGGCUGGCUAGACCACCUUCGGGGGCCGAAAGAGAGCUCCCGCAGCAGCAUCAUAUUCGGCGACCGAACAUAAGGUUCAGCGACCGAACAUAAGGUUCGGCGGCCGAACCUGGGCUUAUCCCUCAAAAAAUAUUUUUCUUUUAUUUUUCAAAACUUUAACUCAAAACCAAUUAAUAAAAUAAUGAAAAAUAUUUUAUAAAAACAUAUUUUACCCUUCUAAGAGGUUCCAGUAUUCGAGAUUCCGGAUUCCAACAGGUAUUCCGUCGGAAAGUUGGAAUUCCGACACCGGAGUCUAGCCGGGUAUUACAAUGACAAACCUAAAUUUUCACAAAAAUAUUUCUUGAUCUUCACUUUAGACUUCUCUUUGUGUAGUUUUGGCCCAUAUAUUUGAUUAGGCUCCCUAAGCCUAUGACUGCAAGUGUUGCACUAAAUCUGCCCCCAUAUGAGUUGAAGCAUACCCCAAAUGUAUAUGGAUCAUAUGAAUACGAUUUUGAACUCCUUUUAGAUCCAUUUGAAUUAUAUAAGUUUGCUCCACACUAUUGUUAUAAAUUUGCCAUAUUGAAUCUGUAUCACUUUCGAGCUGUUUAGUUCUUUGGGACUUAGUUUGAUUGCACUUAUGUAUUGAACUAUCUUCAUUUUUUUGGCUUAUGAGCCCGUUUUAGCUUAUUUUGACAUAAAGUACUUUGAGUUGUAUGUUCAGCUUAUAAGCUUGACUUGUUUAGUUCGCUUAGCCUGUGUUAAUGAAUUCAAGCUGUUCUUUGCGCAAUCUACCUGGUAGAUUUGCCCAGGCUGUGAGCUCGAUUUAUAUAUCUAAAGUUUUAUUAUACACUAGGUCUGUGAGCCUUUCUUUAUUUUUAUGAGGGUACUUAAGCUCUUUUCCUGUGAUCUGUUCUGAGCCAUGAGCUCGAUUAUCUCAUACUUAGUUUAUUUUCACAUAUUUAACUCGUGAGCCCGUUCGCACUAUGGGCGCGGUUGUCUUACAUUUAAACUAUUUUCAUGUAUUGUGAACCCAUCCAUGCCAUGAUCUCAAUUGCUUUACUCUCGAGCUAUUUUUGUGUGUUUUUAGCUUGUGAGCUCGUUUGGAGUGCGAGCUCAGCUACAUUACACUUAGGCUGUUUUUCGCAUAUUCAACCUGUGCUGCGUUGUUGUUCUGCUGACUUGUUUUACCAGCAAACCGUUUUAUUUAUUAUGUUAUUAUUUUUUUUUUUUAUCUGUUGGAUACCUUCGUGUUUUUCUAUCUCUUGUUUCUUUGAAGUUUCUGAGUUUCAUUUUUAUUUUGAUGUUGCCUUAACUUUGUUUUUCUUUAACUCCUAGGGAUAUCGGGCUCUUUUUCGAGGUCGGUGUUUUGCCUUAGACUUUACAAACCUUGGAUUAACUCUCUUAUGGAGUACACUCUUUUGUGAAAUUUAUAUUACGAUGCCUUAAGUUAAUUUUUCUACUAAUCGAACUCUAUUUAUGAGGUAGGCAUCAUACCUUACGUUAGUUUUUUUUUUUAUGAGCCGAGCUUCUUAAUGAGGUUGCAAUCUCAUUCUCUUGUGAUUUGAGCUCUUCAAAGAGGUCGCAAAUGGUUCAUUUUUUGCGAUCUGAGUCCCUUUAUGAGGCUGGUCAUUUAGGUUUGUGCCCUUUUCCCCAAGUCUCACGCGCGAUGGGUCCUUUCUUUUACUUUGCUCCCUCGUUCGAGUUCUUUGGAUCUCGUAUCAUUCUGGGCCUUUUAACUCUGACUUUGGUUUAAGUCUCUUACUCUUGAGUUUGUCUGCAUGCGCUUUUCGGGUUGUUUGCCUCUAGGCGUCUUUCAGAUCCUUUUUUUCUAGGUUAAGUCCUAAAGUUCUCUUCUUACAAGACUGGUUUGAUAUUAGGGGGUCAAUCUUUGAGGUUGGCGCUUCUUAUUAUUGCUCAUACUUUUGUUUGCGUAUGGGCCUAAAGGUCGACGUGUGAAAGUUGAGCCCAUAACUAACUCAUAGAAAAUGUGGAGAAGCUUUGUACUUGCAUUGAUGAAUUUUCUUGAGAAAAAUGCAAAAGAAGACGAAUCCACUUAAAUUGGCCAUAUGCAUACACGGAGAGAUAAAUAAUGAAUUGAUUAUUGAAUUACACUUUAAUAGUUAUUGUGGGAUUACAGUCUCGUAUUCCUGCGGUCUGAGCCUUUUGACUAGGUCAGAGCUAUAUCUUCUGUUGGUAUUCUUGCAAUUCGUGUCCUCUGGUGAGGUUGGAUUCAAAUUUUUCACUUAAGUCCUUGUAAUCCGAGUUCUUGUGUGAGGUCGGAGUUAGGUUAUUGUCUUAUUUACUGAGUUUUACGCGUGCUGAGUCCUUUUUUUAGGUUGGCUGCUUAGUUCUCAACUUUUCUCUUAUAAGCUUAUAGCCUUGCCAAUGUAGACUUUUGAGGAGGUAUGUCUGGCCUUUCUGGACUUUUGGGGAGAUCGGACUAUCUGUUUUGGUCCUGACCAUACUAGGGUUUGAUUCUUUUGUACCCAAUGAAUUGGAGUUUUCUACUGUCCAGUCCGACCAUUCGGAAUGAUCCAUUCAACCUUUUUGAAUUACGCAUGCAUGCAUCACAACCUUGAUGGGUCUUAUUUUACUUAGUGUUGGUGUUACCCCUUCACAUCUCCGAUGGUUUUUAUGACCGUCGGAGAAGGAAAUCUGUUCUGCUAUUUUGGUGCUUCCUUUUUACAUGUCAAUCUUGCACAUUAGAUUUUACGAGCAUGUUGGCUUUUUGCCAGGCUCUUUAGCCCUGGUUCUUUGUUUGAACUCUUCAGCUUUUUACAUCGCUCCUGACUCCUUGAUUCUUUAUCUGAGCGUUUGGUUCUCAGGUACGUUCCGAUUGGUUGGUUAUUUGCUCCCAAGUGCUUUUCGGGCUCUUUACUGCCUACACCUUUCUCUAGGCUAACCGAACUGAUUUGGUGCCAAUGGUCAAUUUUCGAGAUGGGCGCCUCUUAUUAUUAUCCCUGGCCUUUCAUUUAGUUCUCUAUCUCGAUAUGUAUUUUGCCUAGAAUUCGCUUUGCCUUAGUUAUGUCUGUCUAUUGGCUUUACCGGCACCGAACUCAUUUUCUUGAAGUCGGCAUAGCACUUUGGCUCUGUGAGCCUUGAAUUAGCCUUUAAUAGGUCUCAUUGCUUCAUGAAGCGAGCGUUGAGAUGCCUUAGUUUAAUUUCUUUACAUGCUGACUGUUCUGUGAGAUUAAAAUAUCAUUAUCCUAUGAUUCAAACUCUUUUGGGAGGUCAGAUUCAAAUUUUUUAUUUGUGGUCCAGUGCUCCAAUCCUUCAUGUGAGGUCGGAGCUAGGUUUCUAUGUUUUGUUUUUGUGCUAUCCGAGCUCUUUUUGUGCUAUCCGAGCUCUUUUUGUGAGCUCAGAGCCAAGCCUUUACUUUUUCUCUUAAAAGUUUGUGGCCUUUAUUGAUGCAGUUUUUCUGUGUUGGCGUUCGCUUGCCAACAGAUUUUAUGGUGCCGGCGAUCAUAUUCUGAUACCGGUCACCUACCUCACUAUGGUAUUCUUCUCCUCAGCCGGUUUUGUGGUACUGGCGGUCAUGUUUCGAGACCGAUCACCUACCUUACUGAGGACUUCAUCUUCCUAGCCGAUUUUGUGGUGCCGACGGUCAUAUUCCAAGACCGGUCACCUACCUUACUGGGGUCUCAUUCUCCUCAGCCGAUUUUGUGGUGCCGACGAUCAUGUUUCGAGACCAGUCACCUACCUCACUGAGAAUUUCAUCUUCUCAGCCAUUUUUGUGGUGUCGCCGGUCAUGUUCCGAGAUCGGUCACCUACCUCACUUGGGGCUUCAUCUUUCCAACUGAUUUUGUGGUGUCGACAGUCAUGUUACGAGACCGAUCACCUACCUCACUAGGGUCUUCAUCUUUCCAACCAGUUUUGUGGUGCCGACGGUCAUGUUUCGAGACCGGUCACCUACCUAAUUGGGGUCUUAUUCUUCUCAGCCGAUUUUGUGAUGCCAACGGCCAUAUUCCGAGACCGGUCACCUACCUCACUGAAGUUUUCUUCCUCUUAACUGAUUUUAUAGUGCCGGUGGUCAUAUUCUGAGACAGAUCACUUAUCUCGCUGAGGAUUUCAUCUUUCCAACUGAUUUUGUGGCGCCGGCGAUCAUGUUCCGAGACAGGUCACCUACCUCACUGGGUCUUCUUCAUUCCUUUUAAUAUUUUUCUGCAAAGUAAAAGCUUGCCCUGAGUAUAUAUUACAAGUGAAUGCAAAUAUUAAUUUUGAUCAACCCUAUCUUUUUAUGUGAUUUAAAUGAUUCACUAAAUAAUAAUUCAUAUGCUUAAUUUAUUUUACUAUUCUUUUUCAACGACAUGCGUAAAUAAAUAAUCAUUUUCUCAAUAUUUCCCACGUUAAAAUUCAUGCCUUUAAACUAUUUCAGUAUACUAUCAUGUUCAGUCUCAUACAUAUAAGGCUUUCGUCUACAAUCUUAAUUUUAUAACUAAUUAUGAUAAUGAAAAUAUAUUAAGUUAAAGAAGUGACCGUGCAACUUAGAUAUGACGCCUUUUUUUCAUAAUUUGUGAAUCAUCCCUGCGUUGCCUUUUUUCUUUAUAUCGACAUCUUUCUAUGUCCGACUUUCGCAAUGUGACUUUUUGAUGUAGGUGGUGAUUCUUGGAUCUUUCUCUAUCUUGUGACACCACAUAGUUAGAGAAUAAGAAGUGCGGUCAUUCUUGAAUAGAGCUCAAAUCGUUUGAAAUGCUUCUGAUGUAAUUUUCGUCGUGAUUGAUCAUAUAAAUCUCAAUAGAUGUAGUGAGAAUGAGAACUCCGGCGACAAGAAAAAUCCUUUCGUUUCCAUAGACGACGCAAAUUAAUAAUAUGAUGUCUAAAAAAAGGUAGAAUUUUAAUAUGAAUGAAUGAAUUUAGCCUGAAUAGUUGAGACCUUAUCUUUUAUAUUCCUUUUUCUCUUAUCGACGCAUAGCUGCUGCUUUAUUUCCAUAUCACUUAUCACUAUCAUAUAAAACCAAACCAUUCAUACGGGCCUAUCUAUUUUUUUACCAUAAUUCAGUAAUUUAACUCUCUAUCGGUGUUCAUGCGAACACCUGAUAAGCUCCAUGAACACCUGAUAGGCUCGUACCAUAAUUAGACUUGCUCUCCGGUUGAAUCCCUCUUAAUAACUCCGAUCCUCGAUCGGACACCUGGACUAAAUUACUCUCCAGUCAAAGCUCAAUGAGUUAUCAACAACCAUUUUCACUAUGCUCAUCACAAUACCACACCCGAUCAACAGCUUCAUAAACCCAUCCGGUCACAAACAUCUCCAAAUACCAAAAUCUGAACCAAAAAAAAAAAAUGCAGAAAUAAAUAGACUAAUGGAAAUUAAUCAAACUAACCGUUUCUAAACAACAUAGCCAAGAGAAGCGAAACGCAAAGAUUCUGGACUGUACCCAGAUGAAUUACAGUUUCAAAGAGCGGACGGCUGGGUUGCUGUCACUCUUUGUAUCAGAUGUCUAUUGCUGCGAUGGAGGGACGCUUGAGAUGGAAGGGCUCUCGACGAGGGUGAAGCGCAGCUGCUCCGUCUGGACGGGGCUCUGGAGAACAAAAGAGGGGAGAGGCUGCGAUUUCGUCCGGUGCUAUAGUGAGGGAUUGAGUCUUGGUGUUUUGCUUUGUGCGAAGGGAGAGCAAUGGUCUGUUUUCAAAUGGGUUUGGCUGGUAGGAUUGAGAUGACUGAGGGAAUGGGACUGUCGGGGCUGUGAGAGAGAGAAUGGGCGUAGGUGGAGGGACUGGAUGUAUCUGGUUUGCUACUGAGGUGAAAGAAAAUGGGCGACCGACUCUACUACGUAAAGGGACGAGCUGGGCAAGACUAUUGGCAUCCGGUCACGGAACAGGGCGUGUAUGUGGUCGAAGAUGAGGGAGAAGGAAGAGAAAGGAGUGUCGGGGCUGGUGAAAUGGGUUCUGGUGGUGGAGUAGAGAUUGAGUUUGAGUAGGGAUGUAAACUGGUAGCUUACAGCAAAAUAACCAAAUUCGAAUCGGAUUAUAUAUAUAAUUUCCGAACUCGUUUAAUAUUUUAAUUUUAC